CCUACGGGUGGCAGCAGUGAGGAAUAUUGGUCAAUGGGCGAGAGCCUGAACCAGCCAAGUCGCGUGAAGGAUGACGGCCCUACGGGUUGUAAACUUCUUUUGUCAGGGCGCAAUUGGGUCCACGCGUUGGCGUAGCGAGAGUACCUGAAGAAAAAGCAUCGGCUAAAACCGUGCCAGCAGCCGCGGUAAUCCGGAGGAUGCGAGCGUUAUCCGGAUUUAUUGGGUUUAAAGGGUGCGUAGGCGGGAGAUCAAGUCAGGGGGAAAAAUUCGGGGCUAAACCCCGUCGUGCCGUUGAAACUGAUGUUCUUGAGUGGGCGAGAGGUAUGCGGAAGGCGUGGUGUAGCGGUGAAAUGCGUAGAUAUCACACAGAACUCCGAUUGCGAAGGCAGCAUACCGGCGCCCAACUGACGCUGAAGCACGAAAGCGUGGGUAUCGAACAGGAUUAGAUACCCUUGUAGUC
rnacentral:rRNA from 1 species